rnacentral:rRNA from 1 species
AUACAUGCAAGUCGAGCGAGCUGAAUUCAAAGAUUCCUUCGGGAUGAUUUGUUGGACGCUAGCGGCGGAUGGGUGAGUAACACGUGGGCAAUCUGCCCUAAAGACUGGGAUACCACUUGGAAACAGGUGCUAAUACCGGAUAACAACAUGAAUCGCAUGAUUCAAGUUUGAAAGGCGGCGCAAGCUGUCACUUUAGGAUGAGCCCGCGGCGCAUUAGCUAGUUGGUGGGGUAAAGGCCUACCAAGGCAAUGAUGCGUAGCCGAGUUGAGAGACUGAUCGGCCACAUUGGGACUGAGACACGGCCCAAACUCCUACGGGAGGCAGCAGUAGGGAAUCUUCCACAAUGGACGCAAGUCUGAUGGAGCAACGCCGCGUGAGUGAAGAAGGUUUUCGGAUCGUAAAGCUCUGUUGUUGGUGAAGAAGGAUAGAGGCAGUAACUGGUCUUUAUUUGACGGUAAUCAACCAGAAAGUCACGGCUAACUACGUGCCAGCAGCCGCGGUAAUACGUAGGUGGCAAGCGU